rnacentral:rRNA from 1 species
UACGUAGGGGGCAAGCGUUGUCCGGAUUUAUUGGGCGUAAAAGGCUUGUAGGUGGCCACGCCAAGUCGGAUGUGAAAUCUCCCGGCUCAACUGGGAGGGGUCAUUCGAUACUGGCGGGCUCGAGGCCGGUAGGGGGAAGUGGAAUUCCCGGUGUAGUGGUGGAAUGCGUAGAUAUCUGGAGGAACACCAGUGGCGAAGGCGGCUUCCUGGACCGGUUCUGACACUGAGGAGCGAAAGCGUGGGGAGCGAUCCGG